rnacentral:rRNA from 1 species
AGUCUGGUGCCAGCAGCCGCGGUAAUUCCAGCUCCAAUAGCGUAUAUUAAAAUUGUUGCAGUUAAAAAGCUCGUAGUUGAAUUUCUGCUGUACUGCAUUUUCUCUUUUUAUAUGAGUUUUUGCAUUAUGGCUUAUUUCAGUAUUAAUUUUUUAUUAUUACUGAAUGUUUACUUUGAGAAAAUUAGAGUGCUCAAAGCAGGCUUUUGCCUUGAAUAGUUUAGCAUGGAAUAAUAAAGUAGGACUUUGGUUCUAUUUUGUUGGUUUUAGGUACCAAAGUAAUGGUUAAUAGGAACAGUUGGGGGCAUUCGUAUUUAACUGUCAGAGGUGAAAUUCUUAGAUUUGUUAAAGACGAACUACUGCGAAAGCAUUUGCCAAGGAUGUUUUCAUUAAUCAAGAACGAAAGUUAGGGGAUCGAAGACGAUCAGAUACCGU